CAAGUAGGACACUUUAGGACAGCUUAAAUACAGUGAGCUGCUGGCCUCGUUGACUGUUUUCUGCCUUUUGAGAUGUUGAGUUUGAUAAAAGCACAUGGUAUGUUUUGUAAUUUGUGUUUUCAAGUUUAUUCGGUUUCUCUGUGAUCUAGGCAUAAAAAACUUGUCACCCAACAAAUGGAUCUCCUUGUGAGAUGGUUCACAGACAUAGUGUCAUCCUGGGAGCCGCAAUGGUAUAUUUGUAGAAAUUAAAUAAAUAUGUUAUCUGGAAAAGCUGUCUCAACUUAUCAAUAAGUAACUGUGGAGCUGUUUUGUGGCCUUAUUCAUCUAUGAAGGAAAGCAAAUUACCAAGAAGCAGCUUCAAGUUGACCAGAGGAUCAAUGCAACAUCCAUUGCCUGUUACUGUUAGACACUUCUUCAGAUAAGGACUAAGGCCUGCUGCUAUCAGUUCUUCUUCAAUGGCAAGGUACAGAGGCCCAUGGAGGUCUGACAGCAAACCAGGAAAGAGUACUCGCACUACAUCGUGCCACAUCAUGAUAGUUUCAUUUCAUGCCAGAGGCGAUUUUAAACCCAUCGCAAAUAGAAGAGCUAGUCUCUCUCAGCAUUCAUCAGCACAAAAUGAAUCGAAAGAUCUGUUCUGGAAGGCAGUGAUGAGUUCUUUGGGCAAGUGCUCAGCUGGGUCUCACGUACUUUCACUUGGGAGUAGUUUUGCCAUUGGAUGAAGUACACUGCUCUGCCUCCUUGAACUCAUUUUGCUACAAUAUGUUUGACUUUCAUAAACACCCAUAACAGUAGGUUUUACCUUUGGUCGGUAUUUCAAAUUAAAGCCACUAUGGCAGAAAUCAUUCAAUAAUGUUGCGUAAAGGCCUGGUUGAUGUCUCGCACACUUCAACAUGUUGUUGAAAAUAAGUUUUACCAACUGAUUGGAUUGAACGAAACUGUACUAUUUACAUGUUUUGAUUAAUCAAAAUGGAUUCAAAUGUGAAUAAUUUUGUAACUGUUCCCUUGGUCAUCAACCUGUUCAAGGCAGCCGUUUGUUAGUUAGUUUGCUUGUUUUUUCUUCUGUUUGGUUGGACUGCGUUAAUUGGUGGAGUAAAAGAGCAUGAGUGUGAAGUACAAGUCAAUGAUAUUACUCCCACCAAUAUGGAUAGAUUUCCAUGGCCCAUUGGUGGCGGUAUUGACGGGGUUCCACUGAAGUCUCUGCAAUUGUUGUUUUUCUGUCAUAGUGCAACCCUUCUUCUUGAUGGAUAAACAAGGAAGAAAAGCCCUGUUUAGCCACCAAAAUUUUUCCAUGAAGUAUGACAACGCAAGUGUCAAGUAAAAGCAAGUGACCCAUGCAUCACGCUCGCUAUAAAACUGUGGUUAGGCUAUUUUUUUCACACUCCUUAUUCUCUUUAUUACAGGAGCGCACCACAACCACAUUUAAGACAAAGAUUGAAUGAAACUAAAAUUUCACUUGACCACAGGUUAGCUGGCUUUCUGAGCACUGCCUUUUAUAGCCUUCAAUUACGCAUUUUUUUGUUCUCAGUCUGCAACUGCAAGCCUUUUGCACUCAAAAACCACCUGAUUGUGAGUUACGCUUUUUAAAUGGCCUAUUCUUCACGAUACUAUUACUAUAUUUCUCUAUUUUCUAUUUCCAUGAUACUAAUUUCUAGAAUUCCAAUAACAUUUUGACCAACGGGGGUCUGUCAGUCUAUAGAGUUAAACAGGAAUUCACAGCUAACGAAUUUACUAAACACUAAGUUAACAGUGUGGCUAUUGUCAAUUAUUGCUAUUGUUCACUUUAUCUCACCUUGGGAUUUUCUUUACGCAUCCAACCAUUUGAUUGACAGCAGCUGAAAUCUGAGAUCUGACUCAUGUAUUCCCAAAGCUUAAUCUGCUGACCAAUCACAGCCGACUAGUUCAAGAUAUGCAAGUUAUUAUGCCACUCGCUGAUGGGUAAAUGGGUAAUGAAAGUACAUGUCAUGAAAGACAAUUGCAUUCUGGGUGAUGCCUUAUAAUAUUCAUAUUUCAGUUUAUGAUAAGUACUUGGAUACCUUGACUACAUUAAAUAAAUGUAUUAAGGCCUGUCCAUAAAAUAUAUUCUCGCUUCAUA
rnacentral:lncRNA from 1 species